GGAGCGUACAGCUCAGUGGUAGAGUGCAUGCCCAGCGCGCAUUAGGUUCUGGGUUCAAUCCCCAGUACCUCCA
rnacentral:tRNA from 1 species